CGGAGGAGAAGAAAACAAAAGUGAUUCCGAUAGUAGCGGCGAGCGAACUCGGAUUAGCCCAAACCAGUGUUGUUACGGCAAUGCUGGGGUUGUAGGACCACGAUAUUUGAUGCGUAAUGAAUUAGAACACUUUGGAAAGAGUGACCAGAGAGGGUGAUAGUCCCGUAUAAGUAAAGAUCGUUAUUGAUAGUGGUAUCCUGAGUAGUGCGGGGCACGUGUAACCCUGUAUGAAUUUGGCGGGACCAUCCGUUAAGGCUAAAUACUCCUGAGAGACCGAUAGUGAACUAGUACCGUGAGGGAAAGGUGAAAAGAACCUUGAAUAAAGGAGUGAAAAAGAACCUGAAACCAUACGCUUACAAGCGGUCGGAGCCAGUAAUGGUGACGGCGUGCCUUUUGCAUAAUGAGCCUACGAGUUACCGUUGCUAGCAAGGUUAAGGACUUCAGGUCCGCAGCCGUAGCGAAAGCGAGUCUGAAUAGGGCGCUUUAGUUAGUAGUGGUAGACGCGAAACCGUGUGAUCUACCCAUGGGCAGGGUGAAGCUGUGGUAACACACAGUGGAGGCCCGAACCGGUUGACGUUGAAAAGUCUUCGGAUGAACUGUGGGUAGGGGUGAAAG
rnacentral:rRNA from 1 species